rnacentral:rRNA from 1 species
UGGGGAAUAUUGCACAAUGGGGGAAACCCUGAUGCAGCGACGCCGCGUGAACGAAGAAGGUAUUCGUAUCGUAAAGUUCUGUCCUAUGGGAAGAUAAUGACAGUACCAUAGAAGAAAGCUCCGGCUAAAUACGUGCCAGCAGCCGCGGUAAUACGUAUGGAGCGAGCGUUGUCCGGAAUUAUUGGGCGUAAAGGGUACGCAGGCGGUUUAAUAAGUCGAAUGUUAAAGAUCGCGGCUCAACCCCGCAAAGCAUUGGAAACUGAUAAACUUGAGUAGUGGAGAGGAAAGUGGAAUUCCUAGUGUAGUGGUGAAAUACGUAGAUAUUAGGAGGAAUACCAGUAGCGAAGGCGACGUUCUGGACACAAACUGACGCUGAGGUACGAAAGCGUGGGGAGCAAACAGG